UCUGCUUAACUUAGGUGUAGGCUAAUAUCCGCAAAUAAAUAUGCAAUUUUUUCUUUGUUUGUUUAAUUAUUUGCUCAUUUUAUGCUGGGAAUUGCAAACCUUGUUAGUAACGUAAUACAGAAUAUAUAUACUUUGAUUUAGAUAUAUUUUAAUAUAUUUUAGUUGUUUUAUAUGCAGGCCGUAUUCGCGAUUCUCCUGUCAUGCUUGCCAAACGUCAAACUUUUAUGAAUGCAAGUGGUGAGUCUGUUGGUUCGCUGGUUCCAUAUUACAAGAAACCACUGAAUCAGAUAUAUGAUGAUUUGGAUUUACCUUUUGCAAAAUUGCGC